rnacentral:rRNA from 1 species
UACGUAGGGGGCAAGCGUUGUCCGGAUUUAUUGGGCGUAAAGAGCGUGUAGGCGGCCUGAAAGGUCAGCUGUGAAAACUCGAGGCUCAACCUCGAGACGUCGGCUGAAACCAUCUGGCUAGAGUCCGGAAGAGGAGUGUGGAAUUCCCGGUGUAGCGGUGAAAUGCGCAGAUAUCGGGAAGAACACCCGUGGCGAAGGCGGCACUCUGGGACGGUACUGACGCUGAGACGCGAAAGCGUGGGGAGCGAACAGG